rnacentral:lncRNA from 1 species
GCUGAGGAUCCACAUGGGUGGCAGAGACCUGUGCUGGCCCAACACAGGGCAGGACACCAGGGUGAGCACAAACAUCUAGAAGUUCUGGAACCUCUGUGCCAUAUGAAACAGAAGUUGACCAGAGGACAGUAAGCAGAUGAAAACCUCAGAUUCCCCAGUUAGCACUCUGUUCAGAAAGACUCAAGGAGAUGGAGUCUAUCAAGCAUCUUGGAUAUCAUGGCAUCAUAAUGAGGACCAGCAUCUGGGAGCACACCCCCAGCUAAUGGCCCUCCUGGAGGAGGGACCCAGCCAGGAGCGCUCAGCAGAGCUCCCUCCUGAACAGUCUCCCUGAACCAGUGAUUUCAAUUAGAAGACCAUUACUAUGAAACUCUAGCCAGC